AACACUGUUAACCUGCGGUACCUGCGGAAGGAUCAUUACUGUGGUUUACUACUACACUGCGUGAGCGGAACGAAAACAACAACACCUAAAAUGUGGAAUAUAGCAUAUAGUCGACAAGAGAAAUCUACGAAAAAACAAACAAAACUUUCAACAAUGGAUCU
rnacentral:misc_RNA from 1 species